AGUCGAGCGGAGAUGAGGUGCUUGCACCUUAUCUUAGCGGCGGACSGGUGAGUAAUGCUUAGGAAUCUGCCUAUUAGUGGGGGACAACAUUUCGAAAGGAAUGCUAAUACCGCAUACGCCCUACGGGGGAAAGCAGGGGAUCUUCGGACCUUGCGCUAAUAGAUGAGCCUAAGUCGGAUUAGCUAGUUGGUGGGGUAAGGGCCUACCAAGGCGACGAUCUGUAGCGGGUCUGAGAGGAUGAUCCGCCACACUGGGACUGAGACACGGCCCAGACUCCUACGGGAGGCAGCAGUGGGGAAUAUUGGACAAUGGGGGGAACCCUGAUCCAGCCAUGCCGCGUGUGUGAAGAAGGCCUUUUGGUUGUAAAGCACUUUAAGCGAGGAGGAGGAGCUCUAGAUUAAUACUCUAGAUGCUUGGACGUUACUCGCAGAAUAAGCACCGGCUAACUCUGUGCCAGCAGCCGCGGUAAUACAGAGGGUGCAAGCGUUAAUCGGAUUUACUGGGCGUAAAGCGUGCGUAGGUGGUCUUUUAAGUCGGAUGUGAAAUCCCUGAGCUUAACUUAGGAAUUGCAUUCGAUACUGGGAGACUAGAGUAUGGGAGAGGAUGGUAGAAUUCCAGGUGUAGCGGUGAAAUGCGUAGAGAUCUGGAGGAAUACCGAUGGCGAAGGCAGCCAUCUGGCCUAAUACUGACACUGAGGUACGAAAGCAUGGGGAGCAAACAGGAUUAGAUACCCUGGUAGUCCAUGCCGUAAACGAUGUCUACUAGCCGUUGGGGUCUUUGAGACUUUAGUGGCGCAGCUAACGCGAUAAGUAGACCGCCUGGGGAGUACGGUCGCAAGACUAAAACUCAAAUGAAUUGACGGGGGCCCGCACAAGCGGUGGAGCAUGUGGUUUAAUUCGAUGCAACGCGAAGAACCUUACC
rnacentral:rRNA from 1 species